CUCUGGCCAUUGCCAUCCGCCCAAAUCUACAGACAUCCCGCAUGUUCCCGGGCUCGUCUCCCCAAUACAGGGCACCAAGUGCCAGGAGCGACGGUACACUCCAGAGUGCUGUGCCCUGAUGGGCCUUUGAGUGGCCAGUGCAGUGGAUCAUCAGCCCUGUCUCCCAAGAGCUCCAGUCCCUUCUCCGGAGAGGAAGUGGGUCCACUGGCAGCUCAGGAGGCCAUAGCAGAUUGUGGGGCUCUGUGCAGUUGAUGUUAGUUAACCACUGGAUCCACGUGUUCACCGUGGCUUGCGCCCCUGCAUCCGAAAGUGAUCUUGGCUGCCGUGUCCUGGUCAUUGGUAGUGCAGGGAAAGGAUGCGGAAAGACGGGCUCCGAGCUCGGGGCGUCUGGCCUGGAGCUUUCCUACACUUGUGUCUUGCUCUGCAGCCUUACGGAAGUGUGGGUGGCGCUUUCUGGAAGCUGCACAAGUCAGUGCUGGGUCUUCGCAACUUGGUGUUCUGUUUCCAGAAACUUGGGGUGUUUGCAUGUGCUAGGUCAGCACAGAUUUCCAAAGGAUCUCUAGGAUUGUCACGUGUGCUCAACAGUCCUCCUCGGCUUUCCAGAAGAGGCUGGAACAGGGCCCUUGAAGAUGUUUGUGGACAUCAGAGGGCCAAAGACGACACAAAGUGAAACUGGAGACACCGCCCCCCCUUGGCAUCAUGAAACUGCCGAUGUUACUGGCUCAUGCAUGGGAGACACCAGCAUACAAAGUCUUGACACCAACACCUCAGAGGGCUGUGUUCUGUCCCCGUGACCAUCAUCUAGUGCCUGGAAAGACUAGUGACAAGAACUUGUUGCCAACUUCCUAUUACCUCCCUAACAGUUGUGCAAUAAACCCCAUAGGUUAA
rnacentral:lncRNA from 1 species